GGGAGUAUGGUGUAAGGGGUUAACACGGCUUUUGUUCUUGUAUGCAGAACUCCAGCAGCCCGAGGUUCGAUUCCUCGUACUCCGU